ACCUUGUUGGCUCAGUUGGUAGAGCAUGAGACUCUUGAUCUUGGGGUUGUAAGUUUGAGCCCCAUGUUGGGUA
rnacentral:tRNA from 1 species